GACGAACGCUGGCGGCGUGCUUAACACAUGCAAGUCGAACGGAAAGGCCCUGCUUUUGUGGGGUGCUCGAGUGGCGAACGGGUGAGUAACACGUGAGUAACCUGCCCUUGACUUUGGGAUAACUUCAGGAAACUGGGGCUAAUACCGGAUAGGAGCUCCUGCUGCAUGGUGGGGGUUGGAAAGUUUCGGCGGCUGGGGAUGGACUCGCGGCUUAUCAGCUUGUUGGUGGGGUAGUGGCUUACCAAGGCUUUGACGGGUAGCCGGCCUGAGAGGGUGACCGGCCACAUUGGGACUGAGAUACGGCCCAGACUCCUACGGGAGGCAGCAGUGGGGAAUAUUGCACAAUGGGCGGAAGCCUGAUGCAGCAACGCCGCGUGCGGGAUGACGGCCUUCGGGUUGUAAACCGCUUUAGCCUGUGACGAAGCGUGAGUGACGGUAACGGGUAAAGAAGCACCGGCUAACUACGUG
rnacentral:rRNA from 1 species